UUUCCUCUGGUGCACAAACCAAAAUACACCAGAAAGAGUUAUUGCCCUUUGUAACACUCUCUUGUAUUGGAGAUAUGAACAGCCUUCAUUUGUUUUCAGUAUGGCAGGAGGUGGAAAUUGAGUUUUUAUUCAAUUUGUUCUUCAGAAGUUUAUCAAUAUCAGAUGCUUUUUGUUCACUUAAUUCACUACCACGAUCUUUAUCUUCAAUUGUGCUAAAGGAUUCCGGUUUAUUUCAUGGAAUACAAAUCCGUUUGAUCUUUGCCAUAGUCACCGGACUCUAGCAUCCAAUCGUCUACGUAAUUCGUAGAAAAAGUAAAUGUUGUGGAAUUUAACGCUUUAUUGCAUCACAUCCGACUAAAAAAAUGACCAGGGAAACAGAAGACUGACAGACAUAUUCAUAGAAAAUAUGAAAAAGCCCUGCCUGUUGCCGUGUUGGAACUUGUAUUGACCUGUAUGAGCAUCAUACUGUGCAAAUCACCUAAAGAUGGAGUUGACCAAGUUGCUGACUUUGAGGAGCAUCUUUGGGACAAGGGGAAUUAACAUAGAUUGUAAAUCUAAGGACUCUGGAUUGACGAACUUGAAGAGCAGAAGAUGCAUUCCAUGACUGUUAUGUGAUAUAGAAGACAAAGAAGAGCUCUUGAGAAUGGAAAAAAAAAACCUGCGAGUUUUACAGUCAAUGAACACACCUCACGAUACAAGUCCAUCCUGAUUCAGUAAACUAUUCUUCUAAGGAAACACCAUGACUUAGUUAAGAUAAGUUUUGGUGUCAGAAGACUAAUGUAACUAAAACAUUGCAAAAUUAACCUGCAAGUGUCUUAUGUGAGCCUACUGAAUAAGGAUUCAUUACUGAACAGUUGAAGGAAAAUCACUAUUAUAAUGAUUUUUAAAAAAAGAUGAUUGUGUUGUUUGGAUAACAUUGUGAUCCAUGUUUGUUGAAUAAACAACUUUGCAAAAAUGAGUUGCUCUGUGUAAUAUUAUAAAUUUACUAAUUACUGGUAUGUCAACAUAGAUUACAGUAACACUGAACAAACUUCAAUAAAUUUUAAAGUUUCAUGCAGUUUCUGCAGUAGAAAAUGACACCUAUUGAUUUUCUGGUCCAAAGGUCACCAGGUGCAAUACAAUACUCUGUACAAUUGAUGUCUGACCAGUUUCUUCAGAACCCUUUGAUUGAUAGUGAUAUUUCAUACAGGGGUUGGUCACUGGUAGUAUAUGACCCCCAUUGAUUUUCAGGUCAAAAGAUUAAA